rnacentral:rRNA from 1 species
AUUGAACGCUGGCGGCAUGCUUUACACAUGCAAGUCGAACGGCAGCGCAGGCUUCGGCCUGGCGGCGAGUGGCGAACGGGUGAGUAAUGCAUCGGAACGUGCCCAGUAGUGGGGGAUAGCCCGGCGAAAGCCGGAUUAAUACCGCAUACGACCUGAGGGUGAAAGCGGGGGACCGAAAGGCCUCGCGCUAUUGGAGCGGCCGAUGUCGGAUUAGCUAGUUGGUGGGGUAAAGGCUUAUCAAGGCGACGAUCCGUAGCUGGUCUGAGAGGACGACCAGCCACACUGGGACUGAGACACGGCCCAGACUCCUACGGGAGGCAGCAGUGGGGAAUUUUGGACAAUGGGGGCAACCCUGAUCCAGCCAUGCCGCGUGCGGGAAGAAGGCCUUCGGGUUGUAAACCGCUUUUGUUCGGGAAGAAAUCCUCUGGGCUAAUACCCCGGGGGGAUGACGGUACCGGAAGAAUAAGCACCGGCUAACUACGUG